UGGGGAAUUUUGGACAAUGGGCGAAAGCCUGAUCCAGCAAUGCCGCGUGUGUGAAGAAGGCCUUCGGGUUGUAAAGCACUUUUGUCCGGAAAGAAAUCCUUGGCUCUAAUACAGUCGGGGGAUGACGGUACCGGAAGAAUAAGCACCGGCUAACUACGUGCCAGCAGCCGCGGUAAUACGUAGGGUGCAAGCGUUAAUCGGAAUUACUGGGCGUAAAGCGUGCGCAGGCGGUUUGCUAAGACCGAUGUGAAAUCCCCGGGCUCAACCUGGGAACUGCAUUGGUGACUGGCAGGCUAGAGUAUGGCAGAGGGGGGUAGAAUUCCACGUGUAGCAGUGAAAUGCGUAGAGAUGUGGAGGAAUACCGAUGGCGAAGGCAGCCCCCUGGGCCAAUACUGACGCUCAUGCACGAAAGCGUGGGGAGCAAACAGGAUUAGAUACCCUGGUAGUCCAGCGCCCUAAAACGAUGUCAACUAGUUGUUGGGGAUUCAAUUUCCUUAGUAACGUAGCUAACGCGUGAAGUUGACCGCCUGGGGAGUACGGUCG
rnacentral:rRNA from 1 species